GGUGGGGUAUUGGGCAUCUAGAGGUCUACUAGCUCUGCAUUAUUUAAGACAGGCCCGCUUUGUGAAGUAACGCAUUCCAGCAAGAGCGAUAACCAAGGUUUGCAAGAUGGAUAGAUCACUCUCCGCUGACCCUGAAUCAAAAAUAUCAAUCUCUGGUGCCAGAAAAAGAGGCAGCUGGAUCACCUUCCCUUUUAUUAUUGGGGCUUUUGCCUGCUUGACACUUGCUGGUGCAGGAUGGGCAGCCAACCUGAUUGUUUAUCUUAUUGAGGAAUUCAAUGUGAAAAGUAUUGAUGCUACCCAAAUUUCCAAUGUGGUUAAUGGUGGCUCCAAUUUAGUUCCAAUUUUUGGAGCUAUAGUUGCCGACUCUUUCUUGGGCUCUUUCUCUGUCAUCAUUAUAUCUUCUUGCAUCUCCUCUGUGGGCUUGGUGCUUUUGGCCUUAACUGCACUACUUGACUCCCUGAGGCCUGAACCCUGUGAAGAUGGAUCGAGCUUAUGCCAAACCCCAUCAAAACUCCAAUAUGCAGUCCUAUAUGGAGCCUUUGUUCUGGCAUCUACAGGCAUGGGAGGAUCAAGAUUUACUUUAGCAACAAUGGGAGCAAACCAAUUUAAUAAACCAGAAGAUCAGGGCAUUUUUUUCAACUGGUUUUUCUUCACCUUCUACUUUGUUUCCCUGAUUGGUGCCACAGCCGUCGUCUAUAUAGAGGAUAAUGUUAGCUGGGGAUUCGGGUUGGGACUAUGUGUUGCUGCUAAUUUCAUUGGUCUACUCAUUUUCAUUUUGGGAACUCGUCUCUAUCGACAUGAUAAGCCUCAAGGAAGCCCUUUCACAGGCUUAGCCCGUGUAGUUGUUGCUGCUAUACAAAAGAGGAAGGUCUUGUUGUCUUCCAAAAGUGAGGACUAUUACUAUGACCAUGAUACGAAGCCGAAAGAGCUAGCUGCUCCGAUGUCAAAGCGCUUCAGGUUCUUCAACCGAGCAGCGCUCAAAGCUGAAGGAGACAUCAAACCUGAUGGCUCCAUUACAAAACCCUGGAGACUAUGCACAGUAUCACAGGUAGAAGAUUUCAAGACUCUGAUCAGAAUUUUCCCAAUGUGGUCUACCAGUAUAUUUCUAGCCACUCCAAUCGCAAUGCAAAGCAGCUUGACAGUCCUCCAAGCUCUAACCAUGGACCGUCACCUUGGACAACAUUUCAAAAUCCCAGCUGGUUCUAUUUUAGUCAUAGUAUUAAUCAGUACAGCCAUCUUUCUCACCAUAAUUGAUCGCUUUGUCUAUCCACUGUGGCAGAACCUAACGCACAAAUCCCCUACGCCAUUCCAAAGAAUUGGAGUAGGUCAUGUGCUUAAUGUGUUGAGCAUGGCUGUGUCAGCUUUAGUGGAGUCAAGGAGGCUCCGAAUAGCCCAUGCUCAGCACCACCAGGACCAAGGAAGUUCUGUUGUGCCAAUGUUGGCCUUGUGGCUGUUUCCACAACUAAUUUUGGUUGGCAUUGGAGAAGGAUUUCAUUUUCCUGGACAAGUUGCUUUGUAUUACCAAGAAUUUCCAACCUCACUGCGUAGUACAGCAACUGCCAUGAUUUCUUUGAUCAUUGGGAUUUCUUUCUAUUUAAGUACAGCAUUGAUUGAUCUUAUUAGAAGGGUAACAGAUUGGUUACCUGAUAAUAUAAAUGAAGGGAGGCUAGAUAAUGUGUAUUGGGUGCUGGUGGUAAUGGGGGUACUCAACUUUGGUUAUUAUCUAGUUUGUGCCAAGUUGUACAAGUACCAGGAUGUUGAAAAGGUAGUGGAUGAGAGUUCUUAAGGUUCGGCUGAGUGGAGUUGAUGGUGGACAAAACGUGCAAGAAGCUUGAAUAUGGCAAUCACUAUCUUCUUCCUCUCUGUCUCUCUGUAAUUUUUUUUUACUUUGAUUUUUUGCACUAUAAAAAUUUAGAAUAAGUGAUAUAACGGUUUUAUUAAUAAUAAAGUAGAAUUAAUAAAGGUCAAAAAGUUGAGGAUUUAAUUAAUAAUUUUUCUAGUAUGCU
rnacentral:misc_RNA from 1 species